CUGCGGAAGGAUCAUUACAGAAAGUAAACGCGGAUCAAACCGCGAACUUCUAAACCUUUGACGAUUGACUCAUGUUGCCUCGGCGGGUUCKCCCGCCAGAGGAUACAUCAAAACUCCUGUUUUAACGGUGUUGUCUGAGCUACAAGCAACGAAUCAAAACUUUCAACAACGGAUCUCUUGGUUCUGGCAUCGAUGAAGAACGCAGCGAAAUGCGAUAAGUAGUGUGAAUUGCAGAAUUCAGUGAAUCAUCGAAUCUUUGAACGCACAUUGCGCCCCUUGGUAUCCCGAGGGGCAUGCCUGUUCGAGCGUCAUUUCACCACUCAAGCCUGGCUUGGUGUUGGGCGACGUCCCCUUUGGGGACGCGCCUCGAAACGCUCGGCGGCGUGGCACCGGCUUUAAGCGUAGCAGAAUCUUUCGCUUUGAAAGUCGGGGCCCCGUCUGCCGGAAGACCUACUCGCAAGGUUGACCUCGGAUCAGGCAGGGAUACCCGCUGAACUUAAGCAUAUCA
rnacentral:rRNA from 1 species